UUCACUUCUUGGCCUUUUGGCUAAGAUCAAGUGUAGUACCUGUUCUUAUCAGUUUAAUAUCUGAUACGUCCUCUAUUUGCGGACUAUAUAUUAAAUGGAUUUUUGGAACAGGAGGGUGAGGAGCCCUGGUGGGCCAGCCUAUAUUCCACCUUAGUUCCAAGGCCUGCUGGGGAUGUCAGUUGGCGGCUCCUU